AAUACGUAGGGCGCAAGCGUUAUCCGGAAUUAUUGGGCGUAAAGAGCUCGUAGGCGGUUUGUCGCGUCUGCUGUGAAAGACCGGGGCUCAACUCCGGUUCUGCAGUGGGUACGGGCAGACUAGAGUGCAGUAGGGGAGACUGGAAUUCCUGGUGUAGCGGUGAAAUGCGCAGAUAUCAGGAGGAACACCGAUGGCGAAGGCAGGUCUCUGGGCUGUAACUGACGCUGAGGAGCGAAAGCAUGGGGAGCGAACAGGAUUAGAUACCCUGGUAGUCCAUGCCGUAAACGUUGGGCACUAGGUGUGGGGGACAUUCCACGUUUUCCGCGCCGUAGCUAACGCAUUAAGUGCCCCGCCUGGGGAGUACGGCCGCAAGGCUAAAACUCAAAGGAAUUGACGGGGGCCCGCACAAGCGGCGGAGCAUGCGGAUUAAUUCGAUGCAACGCGAAGAACCUUACCAAGGCUUGACAUGGACCGGAAAGACCUGGAAACAGGUGCCCCGCUUGCGGCCGGUUUACAGGUGGUGCAUGGUUGUCGUCAGCUCGUGUCGUGAGAUGUUGGGUUAAGUCCCGCAACGAGCGCAACCCUCGUUCUAUGUUGCCAGCGGUUCGGCCGGGGACUCAUAGGAGACUGCCGGGGUCAACUCGGAGGAAGGUGGGGACGACGUCAAAUCAUCAUGCCCCUUAUGUCUUGGGCUUCACGCAUGCUACAAUGGCCGGUACAAAGGGUUGCGAUACUGUGAGGUGGAGCUAAUCCCAAAAAGCCGGUCUCAGUUCGGAUUGGGGUCUGCAACUCGACCCCAUGAAGUCGGAGUCGCUAGUAAUCGCAGAUCAGCAACGCUGCGGUGAAUACGUUCCCGGGCCUUGUACACACCGCCCGUCAAGUCACGAAAGUUGGUAACACCCGAAGCCGGUGGCCUAACCCUUGUGGGGGGAGCCGUCGAAGGUGACCG
rnacentral:rRNA from 1 species